AGCACCCGGAGGAAAACAUGGGGAAAAUGUGCAAACUCCACUCGCCCGAGAAUGGAAUCAAACCCAGGUCCCUGGCACUGUGAGGCAGUAGUGCGAGCCACUGUGCCUUGUGUUCGAUACGAUAUCAAAUGUGUUUAUUGGAGGCAUUUCCCUCCUGAUUUACGGUCUGAUGAUGGCUCAUACCUGAACAUGAGAAGAAGAAUUGCUUCAUACUACACCAGAGAAUACAGAAAGGAUAGACACCACAGAUAGGAUCCUGACCAUCACUCAAAUAGCAACUGCACAACUGUGGGAAGAAUCCAGUCCCUUCACAGCAAGGCACAACACAGAGAAGGUUGAGCAGAGAAACCAACACCUGGAAAUUGGUCGGGUCAGGGGAGUUUUGAGAUAUCUUCAGAUCUGAAACUGGUCAGCGGUGUGGAGCCGUCCAUCAGAACGAACCUUUCUGAAGUUUCGGUUGUGGGUGAUCGGUCAGGGUGAGGCUGGGAAGAAGUGUGAGUGGUUCCAGUUGUGGUGACAGUUUCAUUCAUUCAUCGAAUGUCUUAAGCCACUGCCCAUUUCUACAGGUGAGAGGAUGUUCAAGUUUGAGGAAGGCUCCACAGGCAGAUCAGAUCUCUGAACACACAAAGUGCAUCUAUUGUUUCACUUGCAACACAGAGAAGCAUGGAACCAAAACACUUCACAUAUGAGGUCUUCGACUUCUUCAGCCUUUUAUCGGCACUCGUGAAACACCAAUGGAUUCACAGAGGGGAGAAACCGUUCAUGUGUCAGGGCUGUGACAGGAGCUUUCCAGAAUCCCCAACUUUGCUGAAACACUGGUGCGUCCACAGCAGGGAAAAGCCAUUCACACGUGAGGUGUGUGACAAAUCAUUCUUGCAGUUAUCAAGCCUCUGCGCACACCAUCACGUUCACACUGGAGAGAAACCGUUCACGUACAAAGUGUGUGACAAGUCAUUCUCCCAGUUAACAAACGUCCGUGUCCAUCAAUGCAUUCACACAAGAGAGAAAGCAUUCAUAUGAUCCACAGUGUACAGAUGAUCUCAGGGUCGUUUUCCACUCUGCAAUGGGUUUGCAAAUGACUCUCAAUCCCUUCAAUUCACCAUAAAAGGAAAAUUGUCUGUCCUUGAAUGCUACCAAGGCAAAAAUUCAUACCAACCCACAUCUGUUCAGCCAAAUAUUGCACAUCCCAUAUUUAUUCAAGUAGACUCUGAAAUAUGUGGAACACUUCCAAUACCUUGACAGUCAUUUCUCUCAAAGGAUCGACAUUGAUGAGGGAUCCAGCACUGGAUCAGCUGUGUCAGUUCAGCCUCCUAUAAACAGCAGCAGCAAGAGUUUAACUGCAACAGUUUGAAGUGCAGAGAGUCAAGAGGGUGACUCAGCACGACCUUCAUGUGGAUAGUUAGAGAAGGGAAACAAAUGCACAGGAAGAACAUGAGUAAAAGUACUCUUGGGAAAAAUAGUCUGGAAAUUUCAUAUGAGGAAGUGGUUAAACCUGAUUGACAGCUACAGAAACAUUGUGGUGAAUGGAGGGAGAAAGGACAGAGAGUUGGGAAUUAGAAAGCACUGUCGAACUCACCUGGGGGAAGAGGGUCUUCCAGGAAUGGAAACUGAAUGGUCCAUUGACUCACGUGAUUACUGGAUGUCGGUAACCAUUGGUGGGUUUGUACGAUGGCAAAAAGCCCCAUUCUGUGUCACUAAAGUUCAGUGUCAUUUCUAACCAUUGGAAUUGGCAGCCAGACAAAACCACAGGGAUUUUAAACAAACUUCUUGUCUGUAGUAUUCUAAGAGAGUUUUCCUUGAUGUAAUUCUGUGUGUUGUGUGUGUGUGUGUGCGCGUGCACAUGCGUGUGCGCGUGUGUUAGUGAAGUGAGCCGGCGCUCAGGAGUGGGUACAGUUGGUGAUGUGAAUCAUAAGCAGACCAUCUUCAAUUGAUCCGUCUUCAACUAAAACCAUGGACAAUGUUUGUACUGUUCUGUCUAGAAGUAAUUUUCAAAUGGCUUGUUAUUUUGAUGGAAGCUGAACAUUGUGUUGCUUGCUGUUUUUUCAAUCUUCUGGAUAGAUUUUUCACCCAUAAUAAAUCACAUUUUUGUCACCACCCAAA